rnacentral:rRNA from 1 species
UGGUAGUNCACGCCGUAAACGAUGAGUGCUAGGUGUUAGACCCUUUCCGGGGUUUAGUGCCGCAGCUAACGCAUUAAGCACUCCGCCUGGGGAGUACGACCGCAAGGUUGAAACUCAAAGGAAUUGACGGGGGCCCGCACAAGCGGUGGAGCAUGUGGUUUAAUUCGAAGCAACGCGAAGAACCUUACCAGGUCUUGAUAUCCCUCUGACCGCUCUAGAGAUAGAGUUUUCCUUCGGGACAGAGGUGACAGGUGGUGCAUGGUUGUCGUCAGCUCGUGUCGUGAGAUGUUGGGUUANNNNNNGCAACGAGCGCAACCCCUAUUGUUAGUUGCCAUCAUUCAGUUGGGCACUCUAGCGAGACUGCCGGUAAUAAACCGGAGGAAGGUGGGGAUGACGUCAAAUCAUCAUGCCCCUUAUGACCUGGGCUACACACGUGCUACAAUGGCUGGUACAACGAGUCGCAAGCCGGUGACGGCAAGCUAAUCUCUUAAAGCCAGUCUCAGUUCGGAUUGUAGGCUGCAACUCGCCUACAUGAAGUCGGAAUCGCUAGUAAUCGCGGAUCAGCACGCCGCGGUGAAUACGUUCCCGGGCCUNG